rnacentral:rRNA from 1 species
AUACGGAGGAUCCGAGCGUUAUCCGGAUUUAUUGGGUUUAAAGGGUGCGCAGGCGGCCAUUUAAGUCAGCGGUUAAAUCGUGGGGCUCAACCCCAUUCUGCCGUUGAUACUGGGUGGCUUGAUUGCGGUCGAGGUGGGCGGAAUUCGUUGUGUAGCGGUGAAAUGCAUAGAUAUGACGAAGAACACCGAUUGCGUAGGCAGCUGACCAGACCGCAAAUGACGCUCAUGCACGAAAGUGCGGGGAUCGAACAGUAUUAGAUACCCUGGUAGUCCGCACCGUAAACGAUGAAUACUUGUUUUCGGCGAUAUAAUGUCGGAGGCAAAGCGAAAGCGAUAAGUAUUCCACCUGGGGAGUACGCCGGCAACGGUGAAACUCAAAUGAAUUGACGGGG